UUGAUGGAGUUCACAAGAAAGAAGAGACAGAAAACCAGGCAGAUUCAUUAUGGACAGAAGAAUCACAGUAACUCCUACUCUGUCUUUUCCCAGGUGGAGGCGGGGCCAGGCCCAUAUACCUGUGUGAAGAAACUAAUCCCAAUCACAGCAGAAUGAAACAACUUCCGGAACCCAUGGGCAGGGGAAUGACUCAGUCAGCUCAGGUCAUGAUCUCAUAGUUCGUGAGAUGGAACCCUACGUCCAGUUCUGUGCUGACAACAUCGAGCCUGCUGGGGAUUCUCUCCCUCUCUUUCUCUACCCCCCCCCCCCACCACUCUUCCAUUCACAUGCCCUCACGUGCUU